CGAAAGCCUGACGGAGCAACGCCGCGUGGGGGAGGAAGGCUCUUGGGUUGUAAACCCCUUUUCUCAGGGAAGAAGCUCUGACGGUACCUGAGGAAUCAGCCUCGGCUAACUCCGUGCCAGCAGCCGCGGUAAUACGGAGGAGGCAAGCGUUAUCCGGAAUUAUUGGGCGUAAAGCGUCCGCAGGUGGCCAUUUAAGUCUGCUGUCAAAGACCGGGGCUCAACUCCGGGUCGGCAGUGGAAACUGGAUGGCUAGAGUACGGUAGGGGUAGAGGGAAUUCCCGGUGUAGCGGUGAAAUGCGUAGAGAUCGGGAAGAACACCGGUGGCGAAAGCGCUCUACUGGGUCGCACCUGACCCUCAGGGACGAAAGCUAAGGUAGCG
rnacentral:rRNA from 1 species